rnacentral:rRNA from 1 species
ACGGAGGGUGCAAGCGUUAGUCGGAAUUACUGGGCGUAAAGGGUGCGUAGGCGGGAUUAUAAGUCAGAUGUGAAAAACCAAAGCUCAACUUUGGCAGUGCAUCUGAAACUGUGAUUCUAGAGGUAUAGCGGAGAAAACGGAAUUCCACGUGUAGCGGUGAAAUGCGUAGAUAUGUGGAAGAACACCUGUGGCGAAAGCGGUUUUCUAGCUUACACCUGACGCUGAGGCACGAAAGCAAGGGGAGCAAACAGGA